GCCAUCCUGCCGUCUUACUGUCGCCCCCACCAUCGUCACGGAGACCAUGUAAGUUGAUGCAUGUGUGUAUGUAUGUGUGUGUUUGUGUUUUAUCCAGGGCACAAUAGGCAGACUGACACAGAGUCUGAUAGGAGUCAUGACCCCUCACAGCAGGAGGCUCACACAGUGGCUCCUUGCUUCCCUGCCUGCCUGGUCAAGGUUUUUUUCUAUGUGUGAGAGAGAGAGAGCGAGUGUGUGUUUUUGCACCUUAUAUCUGAAUUGGUAUGAGUUUUUUUUUUUGCAUGUUUGUUUGCCAGGAUUGUAAUGUACCUGUCUGUCUGCUUUGUCUGUGUCUGAGUGUUUAAAAAUUCACACACCCACCCACACAGACAGGCAGGCGCACAUGCAACAACACAGAAAUAUAAAUCACCCUGCUGUCUCACUAUGCAGCAAGUGUUUAACGCACACACACAUACACACACACACACAUGCAUACAUGCACUCACACACAGUGAUAACAACAUCUCAAUUGUGGUGGAAGUUUAAUGGAUGUUUUUGCUGGAGGCGAUAACUGCUCUCAUUCAUCUCUGUUUAAUUGUUUUCAUGGUCUAAUACGAUACAAGCACACGCAAUCAAAACUGGCUCACACACAGAUAACGCACAGAAGCACAAUAGAGGUGAAUGUGUAAACCAUACAUGCUGUGCAUGGAUGUAAUAUGUAGAAAGCUUCAACUGCACUUGCUGCAUGGUAGUUAUAUGUGCUUUAUUCAUUCAUAUCAAAUGCCUGAGUCGAGCACAUGUGUAAAUGCACACAUUGCAUGUGUUGCUGCGUACACUUUUUUUUUUUUAAAGUUUGACCCAACUAUGGUGUCCCAGUCACACAGUCUGUCACCACCCAGUCACCAUGGCGCCCAACUUGGCCGAGACCCGACGGCGGCAGGGAGCACCUUGUCACCGUGGUAACACGUCUGGGAUGUAACCAGCCCCC